GGUUCGGUGGUCUAGGGGUAUGAUUCUCACUUGGGGUGCGAGAGGUCCCAGGUUCAAAUCCCUGCCGAACCC
rnacentral:tRNA from 1 species